UACGGAGGAUGCGAGCGUUAUCCGGAUUUAUUGGGUUUAAAGGGUGCGCAGGCGGCGCGGCAAGCCGGCGGUCAAAUCGCGGGGCUCAACCCCGCCCAGCCGUCGGAACUGCCGGGCUAGAGUGGGCGAGAAGUGCGCGGAAUGCGUGGUGUAGCGGUGAAAUGCAUAGAUAUCACGCAGAACUCCGAUUGCGAAGGCAGCGCACCGGCGCCCUACUGACGCUCAGGCACGAAAGCGUGGGUAUCGAACAGG
rnacentral:rRNA from 1 species